rnacentral:lncRNA from 1 species
CAGCCUCAAAUAUUAUAUGUGAUCAACAUCGUUAUGUUCGGUUUCACUGAUUACUGUUGCAGGCUUCUCGGAAUUAACGUUUUCUGAGAUCUCGGGGUCCGUAAACUUUUGUGGUUG